rnacentral:rRNA from 1 species
AUUGAACGCUGGCGGCAGGCUUAACACAUGCAAGUCGAGCGGGGUGAUGGUGCUUGCACUAUCACUUAGCGGCGGACGGGUGAGUAAUGCUUAGGAAUCUGCCUAUUAGUGGGGGACAACAUCUCGAAAGGGAUGCUAAUACCGCAUACGUCCUACGGGAGAAAGCAGGGGAUCACUUGUGACCUUGCGCUAAUAGAUGAGCCUAAGUCGGAUUAGCUAGUUGGUGGGGUAAAGGCCUACCAAGGCGACGAUCUGUAGCGGGUCUGAGAGGAUGAUCCGCCACGCUGGGACUGAGACACGGCCCAGACUCCUACGAGAGGCAGCAGUGGGGAAUAUUGGACAAUGGGGGGAACCCUGAUCCAGCCAUGCCACGUGUGUGAAGAAGGCCUUAUGGUUGUAAAGCACUUUAAGCGAGGAGGAGGCUCUUUUGGUUAAUACCCAAGAUGAGUGGACGUUACUCGCAGAAUAAGCACCGGCUAACUCUGUGCCAGCCGCCGCGGUAA